GCCCUGACUCUCAAGGCAGCAGACCCGCGGAGCUGGGGAUUUGCAGCUUGCAAGAGUUCCAGUAAUGCUAGGACAGAGAUAUUGAUAAACUGUCAGUGAAGAGCUCACUGGAAACCUGGAUUAACAGAAAUUAUCACCAUUACCUGAAGCUGAGGAGGAUGCAUACUGAGGUGAUCCCUGACCGGCUAUCCUCAUUUUACCAUCUCUCAUUGUAUCCUAUCUGUUAAGAACAAAGAAUUUAAUCUGG